rnacentral:rRNA from 1 species
UACGUAGGGUGCGAGCGUUAAUCGGAAUUACUGGGCGUAAAGGGCGCGUAGGCGGCCAUCUAAGUCAGACGUGAAAUCCCUCGGCUUAACCGGGGAACUGCGUCUGAUACUGGACGGCUUGAGUUUGGGAGAGGGACGCGGAAUUCCAGGUGUAGCGGUGAAAUGCGUAGAUAUCUGGAGGAACACCGGUGGCGAAGGCGGCGUCCUGGACCAACACUGACACUGAGGAGCGAAAGCCAGGGGAGCAAACGGG